GACGAACGCUGGCGGCGUGCUUAACACAUGCAAGUCGUACGGUAAGGCCCUUUCGGGGGUCCACGAGUGGCGAACGGGUGAGUAACACGUGAGUAACCUGCCCACAACUUUGGGAUAACGCUAGGAAACUGGUGCUAAUACUGGAUAUGUGCUCCUGCUGCAUGGUGGGGGUUGGAAAGCUCCGGCGGUUGUGGAUGGACUCGCGGCCUAUCAGCUUGUUGGUGGGGUAGUGGCCUACCAAGGCGGCGACGGGUAGCCGGCCUGAGAGGGUGACCGGCCACAUUGGGACUGAGAUACGGCCCAGACGCCUACGGGAGGCAGCAGUGGGGAAUAUUGCACAAUGGGCGCAAGCCGGAUGCAGCAACGCCGCGUGCGGGAUGACGGCCUUCGGGUUGUAAACCGCUUUCAGCAGGGACGAAGCUUUUUGUGACGGUACCUGCAGAAGAAGCACCGGCUAACUACGUG
rnacentral:rRNA from 1 species